GAUGAACGCUGGCUACAGGCUUAACACAUGCAAGUCGAGGGGAAACGACGGGGAAGCUUGCUUCCCCGGGCGUCGACCGGCGCACGGGUGAGUAACGCGUAUCCUACCUGCCUCAGACUGAUGGAUAACCCGUCGAGAGUCUACCUACUACCUCUUUACAUAGUCUGCGGGCACCCAAGUACGAUUAGAUAUUUCUUCGGUUAAAGGUGGGGAUGCCUCUGAUUAGCUUGUUGGCGGGGGAACGGCCCAACAAAGCGACGAUCAGUAGGGGGUCUGAGAGGAAGGUCCCCCACAUUGGAGCUGAGACACGGUCCAAACUCCUACGGGAGGCAGCAGUGAGGAAUAUUGGUCAAUGGGCGAGAGCCUGAACCAGCCAAGUAGCGUGCAGGAUGACGGCCCUAUGGGUUGUAAACUGCUUUUAUGCGGGGAUAAAGUGAGUGACGUGUCCUUCAUUGCAGGUACCGCAUGAAUAAGGACCGGCUAAUUCCGUG
rnacentral:rRNA from 1 species